UAUAAAUCCAUCAAAUGGUACCUACAUUGCACUCGGUUUGGGUUAGAUUUGACUCCUAGGGUUCCGGUCGAGACUUCCAGAGGUAAGAUGGUUUAUGGAUGCUUGUAUUGCUCGAUUUCAUACAUGAAAAGUUUGCCGAUUUCGACAUCUCUUUGGUUGUCAGAGCGUUAGUUGACUCGACAGUCAAUCUCAAGACGAGCGAGUCGAUUUUACUUAAGUUCGAAGGGAUCGCCAGUCUCCUCUGGUAGUUAUUAUUUCUUGUAGAUUUAAGUUAUUAUUAUAGUUGUGACACGUGACUUGAUUUUAACUCACUUUGACUUCCAUGCUGUGUUGAUUCACUCAUAUAUAGUGCUGUUAACCAUGAUUUUGUAAACUGUUGCAAUUGUGCUGAUGAUAUAGAAGUCCCUUCAGUUGAGGUAGGUGAGGUAAGAUUGUUAUUAACGUGUUUAUGCUAUUGAAUUAUGAUUAAUAUUGUUGAAAUAUUUCAUAUUAUAAAAAAUUAACGCAAAAGAAGUCAGUAGAGAAGUAUGAGAAGAAAAUAUGAAGGUGGAAAAACUUUAGUCAUAUCAAUUUGUAACUGACCUGUUAGUUAUUCUUGUUAGCUAGAUGUGUCAACUCAUUUUUACUACCGGAAUCCAUUUAAGCCUGACCCAAACCCGUUAAUUUAUCUUUCGCUUGGUGUAACCCGACCCCUGUUAUGUUUUCUUUAUCUGCUAAUUACACACAAAACCAACUCUUAUGAGGCUAAAAUCCGUGUAAUUUUGUUAAUUUUACAUCAGGGUAGUUUUGUCAUUAAUCAUUUUAUGUAGAGUUUUAUUCUUUAUUGCCAAAUAUUUUACAUUUCAAAGGAAAUUUCAGAAACAAUAAUCAGUCAAACAUUUUCGGAUUUUUAAUUUCUUGUUGUAUUCUAACGUAGGGCAGCCUAAAUGACACCUACUUACCACGUGUUGUACAAAGCACACAUAUCAUGCUUCUUCCUUCUAGAAGAGAGUUUAGGGAUAUUUGUGUUGUUUUUGAGUUGAUGGAAUUUGACCUUCAGUUUGGUUAUAUUCAGGGUGGCAGGACCAGGGUACUGGUUAUGUUCAAUUUGGAUGUGUUAUGUGGCCUAUGUAGGGCGGAUCU
rnacentral:lncRNA from 1 species